GUAUGUGAUCGUCUCUCGCAUAUCAAUAAGCGGAGGAAAAGAAACUAACAAGGAUUCCCCUAGUAACGGCGAGUGAAGCGGGAAGAGCUCAAAUUUGAAAUCUUAAAGGGUUUCCCUUUACGAAUUGUAGUUUAAAGAAGUGUUUUCUGUUGAGGUUUUGGUAAAAGUUCUUUGGAAUAGGACAUCAUAGAGGGUGAGAAUCCCGUAUUUGACCUUUACUUUCAACUUUGUGAUACACUUUCAAAGAGUCGGAUUGUUUGGGAAUGCAGUCCAAAAUGGGUGGUAAAUUUCAUCUAAAGCUAAAUAUUGGCGAGAGACCGAUAGCGCAACAAGUACCGUGAGGGAAAGAUGAAAAGAACUUUGAAAAGAGAGUUAAACAGUACGUGAAAUUGUCAAAAGGGAAGCGUUUGACACCAGUGUUGUUUUUCUGAAAAUCAAUUAAAGAACUGUUUAUGCUAAGUUGUUUAGACUUUAUCAGCUAACUGUUUAGUUUUGAGCUUUUCUUUAAUGCACUUUUCAGUUAACAAGUCAACAUCAAUUUCUUUUGCUGUAAAAAAGCUUGAGGAAGGUGGCUUGAGAUUCGUCUUAAGUGUUUAUAGCCUCUUGCCUAUGCAGUCGGAGAGAUUGAGGUCUGCAGCGUAGAUCCUUCGGGGCUAAAUGCAUUUGUGCUAAGUUAUAACAUUUUAUAGACAACUUGUUGACUAUGAUUUGUCUUGUAGCUACUCGCUUAUGUUAUUUUACCUACGCUUAGGAUGUUGACACACGCGCGUGCUCG
rnacentral:rRNA from 1 species